UGAAUACGAGAUGCUACGGCGUCGAAGCAGUGUAUGUCAGACUUCCAAGAAAAGCUCGCAAUGUCAUAAAUAAAGAAUGCCUGUACCAUAACCGACACAGGUGGGUAGGUAGAGUAUACUAAGGGGCGCGAGAUAACUCUCUCUAAGGAACUCGGCAAAAUAACUCCGUAACUUCGGGAGAAGGAGUGCCUUCUUUAAGAAGGUUGCAAUAACAAGAUCCAAGCAACUGUUUAUCAAAAACACAGGUCUCCGCUAAGUCGUAAGACGAUGUAUGGGGGCUGACGCCUGCCCAGUGCCAGAAGGUUAAAGAAGUUGGUUAGCUUUUGCGAAGCUGAUGACUGAAGCCCUGGUGAACGGCGGCCGUAACGAUAACGGUCCUAAGGUAGCGAAAUUCCUUGUCGGGUAAGUUCCGACCCGCACGAAAGGCGUAAUGAUUUGGAUACUGUCUCGGAGAGGGACUCGGUGAAAUAGACUUGUCUGUGAAGAUGCGGACUACCUGCACCAGGACAGAAAGACCCUAUGAAGCUUUACUGUAACUUGAAAUUGAAAUUGGACUUUAUUUGCGCAGUAUAGGUGGAAGGCGUUGAAAGUAAUCUUGCGGGAUUAGUGGAGCCAUCAGUGAGAUACCACUCCUAUAAUGUUAGAUUUCUAACUUUGGAUCAUGAUCUGGUCAAAGAACAGUUUCAGGCGGGCAGUUUGACUGGGGCGGUCGCCUCCCAAAUGGUAACGGAGGCGUACAAAGGUUUCCUCUGAACGGGUAGAAAUCGUAUCUAGAGUGUAAAGGCAUAAGGAAGCUUGACUGUGAGACCUACAAGUCGAGCAGGGACGAAAGUCGGCCUUAGUGAUCUGACGGUGCUGAGUGGAAAGGCCGUCACUCAACGGAUAAAAGUUACUCUAGGAUAACAGGCUGAUCUCCCCCAAGAGUUCACAUCGACGGGGAGGUUUGGCACCUCGACGUCGGCUUAUCGCAUCCUGGGGCGGUAGUACGUCCCAAGGGUUGGGCUGUUCGCCCAUGAAAGCGGUACGCGAGCUGGGUUCAGAACGUCGUGAGACAGUUCGGUCCAUAUCCGGUGUAGGCGUUAGAAUAUUGAGAGGAGCCUUCUUUAGUACGAGAGGACCGAGAAGGACAUACCUCUGGUGUACCAGUUAUCGUGCCAACGGUAAACGCUGGGUAGCUAUGUAUGGAGAGGAUAACCGCUGAAAGCAUCUAAGUGGGAAGCCCACCUCAAGAUGAGUAUUCUCAC
rnacentral:rRNA from 1 species